rnacentral:rRNA from 1 species
UCAAUCUCGUGCGGCUAGAAGCCGCCUGUCCCUCUAAGAAGAAUUGAUAGUACGCCGACAGUAAAAACCGCGCGCGACCGCGACGCGAGAACGCCGGGCCGGCGGGCCUUUGAGAUGUCGAAAAUACGCCUAGUUAGCAGGCUAGAGUCUCGUUCGUUAU